UCCUGGGGGAGCCUAAGGUGCGGUAAAUAGCACCCAAGUUGGCUGAGAUUCCGCAAUUUGCUGCGGUAACCCUUAGAACCUGAUCCGGAUAAUGCCGGCGAAGGGAAGGAACAA
rnacentral:ncRNA from 1 species